rnacentral:rRNA from 1 species
CCUACGGGGGGCAGCAGUGAGGAAUAUUGGUCAAUGGGCGUAAGCCUGACCCAGCCAAGUCGCGUGAGGGAUGAAGGUUCUAUGGAUCGUAAACCUCUUUUAUAAGGGAAUAAAGUGCGGGACGUGUCCCGUUUUGUAUGUACCUUAUGAAUAAGGAUCGGCUAACUCCGUGCCAGCAGCCGCGGUAAUACGGAGGAUCCGCGCGUUAUCCGGAUUUAUUGGGUUUAAAGGGUGCGUAGGCGGCCUUUUAAGUCAGCGGGGAAAGUCUGUGGCUCAACCAUAGAAUUGCCGUUGAAACUGGGAGGCUUGAGUAUGUUUGAGGCAGGCGGAAUGCGUGGUGUAGCGGUGAAAUGCUUAGAUAUCACGAAGAACCCCGAUUGCGAAGGCAGCCUGCCGCAGCGUUACUGACGCUGAAGCUCGAAAGCGCGGGUAUCGAACAGGAUUAGAUACCCUAGUAGUC